rnacentral:rRNA from 1 species
GCACCGGCUAACUCCGUGCCAGCAGCCGCGGUAAUACGGAGGGUGCGAGCGUUAAUCGGAAUUACUGGGCGUAAAGCGCAUGCAGGUGGUUUGUUAAGUCAGAUGUGAAAGCCCGGGGCUCAACCUCGGAAUUGCAUUUGAAACUGGCAGACUAGAGUACUGUAGAGGGGGGUAGAAUUUCAGGUGUAGCGGUGAAAUGCGUAGAGAUCUGAAGGAAUACCGGUGGCGAAGGCGGCCCCCUGGACAGAUACUGACACUCAGAUGCGAAAGCGUGGGGAGCAAACAGGAUUAGAUACCCUGGUAGUCCACGCCGUAAACGAUGUCUACUUGGAGGUUGUGGCCUUGAGCCGUGGCUUUCGGAGCUAACGCGUUAAGUAGACCGCCUGGGGAGUACGGUCGCAAGAUUAAAACUCAAAUGAAUUGACGGGGGCCCGCACAAGCGGUGGAGCAUGUGGUUUAAUUCGAUGCAACGCGAAGAACCUUACCUACUCUUGACAUCCAGAGAACUUUCCAGAGAUGGAUUGGUGCCUUCGGGAACUCUGAGACAGGUGCUGCAUGGCUGUCGUCAGCUCGUGUUGUGAAAUGUUGGGUUAAGUCCCGCAACGAGCGCAACCCUUAUCCUUGUUUGCCAGCGAGUAAUGUCGGGAACUCCAGGGAGACUGCCGGUGAUAAACCGGAGGAAGGUGGGGACGACGUCAAG